rnacentral:lncRNA from 1 species
GAAUUUACUCCUGUGACACUGAACAGGCAAAAAGAAACCAGGAGGAGAACACUGGAAUGCUACUAACAGCUGUAUUAAACAUAGAGAAGACCUACGUAGUCAAGUGGAUGGACUGCAAGACAGAGACUGUGGGAGCAAGUUCCCUUCCACUGUAAGAGAUGAUCAGAGAAGACCUGCUUUACUCUGGAGGUGGUUGCUGUUAGCUAUGGAUUCACAAGGGAUGUCAAGGUGGUGGAUGACUCCUGCUGCAGCAUUUUGGCUGAUGCCAGCAGAACUUGGACAGGCAGAGUGAUGCAGUUCUUAUAUAAUACC